UCGAAAAACGGGAGUCAAAACGCAAUUUAGAAAAAUUGUGCCACAUUAGCAGCCACGUCAGCAGUCCGGUUAGCAGCCCUCGCCAACCAGGACACACCGCGUGGCAGAGACACUGACGCGGGAGGCCACGCAGAACGGAGCCACGUGGGCGAUCAGCGUGCGCGCGAUCAGACGGCUGAGAUCCGUUCCCGCGCGCACGGACGAUCCAGAUCCCAUCGCGAUGGACGGUUCAGAUUAAAUCAUGAUGGAUGGCUCAGAUUAAAAGG
rnacentral:lncRNA from 1 species